GCAUUUACCUGGGAGGGGAGAUACUAUGAUCACAAAGGUGGUUUUCCCAGGACAUGGCUUAUCCAUUGCACUCUGGAGGAACUAACCCCUGCAAUUUCCCCAAAUAUGGGAAACUUGACUGCAUAAUUUGUGGUAGUCGGGGACUGUGUUCAUGCUCUCCCCUG
ensembl:snRNA U1 U1 spliceosomal RNA